GGGGGAUUAGCUCAGCUGGUAGAGCGCUUGCAUGGCAUGCAAGAGGUCAUCGGUUCGAAUCCGUUAUCCUCCA
rnacentral:tRNA from 1 species